rnacentral:rRNA from 1 species
GACGAACGCUGGCGGCGUGCUUAACACAUGCAAGUCGAACGGAAAGGCCCUGCUUUUGUGGGGUGCUCGAGUGGCGAACGGGUGAGUAACACGUGAGUAACCUGCCCUUGACUUUGGGAUAACUUCAGGAAACUGGGGCUAAUACCGGAUAGGAGCUCCUGCUGCAUGGUGGGGGUUGGAAAGUUUCGGCGGUUGGGGAUGGACUCGCGGCUUAUCAGCUUGUUGGUGGGGUAGUGGCUUACCAAGGCUUUGACGGGUAGCCGGCCUGAGAGGGUGACCGGCCACAUUGGGACUGAGAGACGGCCCAGACACAUACGGGAGGGAGGAGUGGGGAGUAUUGAACAAUGGGCGGAAGAAUGAUGGAGCAACGCCGCGUGCGGGAUGACGGCAUUCGGGUUGUAAACAGAUUUCGCCUGUGACGAAGCGUGAGGGACGGUAAUGGGUAAAGAAGCACCGGCUAACUACGU